rnacentral:rRNA from 1 species
AUUGAACGCUGGCGGCAUGCCUUACACAUGCAAGUCGAACGGAAACAGGUCUUCGGAUGCUGACGAGUGGCGAACGGGUGAGUAAUGCAUCGGAACGUGCCCAGUAGUGGGGGAUAGCCCGGCGAAAGCCGGAUUAAUACCGCAUACGACCUGAGGGUGAAAGGGGGGGAUCGCAAGACCUCUCGCUAUUGGAGCGGCCGAUGUCAGAUUAGCUAGUUGGUGGGGUAAAGGCCUACCAAGGCAACGAUCUGUAGUUGGUCUGAGAGGACGACCAGCCACACUGUGACUGAGACACGGCCCAGACUCCUACGGGAGGCAGCAGUGGGGAAUUUUGGACAAUGGGCGGAAGCCUGAUCCAGCAAUGCCGCGUGCAGGAAGAAGGCCUUCGGGUUGUAAACUGCUUUUGUCAGGGAAGAAAUCUUCUGGGUUAAUACCUCGGGAGGAUGACGGUACCUGAAGAAUAAGCACCGGCUAACUACGUGCCAGCAGCCGCCGUAACAC